rnacentral:rRNA from 1 species
AUGGUUAGGAGUGUACCGAUUGGUGAGAAGCUCUUCAUAGGAGGAGACCUCAAUGGCCACGUGGGUACAUCUAACACAGGUUUUGAAGGGGCGCAUGGGGGCUUUGGCUAUGGCAUUAGGAAUCAAGAAGGAGAAGAUGUCUUAAGCUUUGCUCUAGCCUACAACAUGAUUGUAGCUAACACCCUCUUUAGAAAGAGAGAAUCACAUCUGGUGACUUUUAGUAGUGGCCAACACUCUAGCCAGAUUGAUUUCAUCCUCUCGAGAAGAGAAGAUAGGCGUGCGUGCCUAGACUGUAAGGUGAUACCUGGGGAGAGUGUUGUACCCCAGCAUAAGCUGGUGGUUGCUGACUUCCGCUUUCGGAUUCGUGUCCAGCGGGAUAAGCGUGCCAAGGUCGCUAGAACAAAGUGGUGGAAGCUCAAGGGGGAGGUAGCUCAGGUGUUCAAGGAGAGGGUAUUUAAGGAGGGCCCUUGGGAGGAAGGAGGGGAUGCGGACAAUGUGUGGAUGAAGAUGGCGACUUGCAUUCGUAAGGUGGCCUCGGAGGAGUUUGGAGUGUCCAGGGGAAGGAGAAGCAAAGAUAAGGAUACUUGGUGGUGGAAUGAUGAUGUCCAGAAGGCGCUUAAAGAGAAGAAAGAUUGCUUCAGACGCCUAUACCUGGAUAGGAGUGCAGACAACAUAGAGAAGUACAAGAUGGUGAAGAAGGCCGCAAAGCGAGCUGUUGGUGAAGCAAGGGGUCGGGCAUAUGAGGACCUCUACCAACGGUUAGGCACGAAGGAAGGUGAAAGGGACAUCUAUAAGAUGGCUAAGAUCCGGGAGAGGAAGACGAGGGAUAUUGGCCAAGUCAAAUGCAUCAAGGACGGAGUAGGCCAACUCUUGGUGAAGGACGAAGAGAUUAAGCAUAGAUGGCGGGAGUACUUCGACAAGCUGUUCAAUGGGGAGAAUGAGAGUUCUACCAUUGAACUGAAUGACUCCUUUGAUGAGACCAGCAUGCGUUUUGUGCGGCGCAUCCAGGAGUCUGAGGUGAAGGAGGCUUUAAAAAGGAUGAAAGGAGGCAAGGCGAUGGGCCCUGAUUGUAUCCCCAUUGAGGUGUGGAAAGGUCUCGGGGACAUAGCGAUAGUAUGGCUAACCAAGCUUUUCAACCUCAUCUUUCGGGCAAACAAGAUGCCAGAAGAAUGGAGACGGAGUAUAUUAGUACCAAUCUUCAAGAACAAGGGGGAUGUUCAGAGUUGUACUAAUUACCGUGGAAUUAAGCUGAUGAGCCAUACAAUGAAGCUAUGGGAGAGAGUCAUUGAGCACCGCUUAAGAAGAAUGACAAGCGUGACCAAAAAUCAGUUUGGUUUCAUGCCUGGGAGGUCGACCAUGGAAGCCAUUUUCUUGGUACGACAACUUAUGGAGAGAUAUAGGGAGCAUAAGAAGGACUUGCAUAUGGUGUUCAUUGACUUGGAGAAGGCCUAUGAUAAGAUACCGCGGAAUGUCAUGUGGUGGGCCUUGGAGAAACACAAAGUCCCAGCAAAGUACAUUACCCUCAUCAAGGACAUGUACAAUAAUGUUGUGACAAGUGUUCGAACAAGUGAUGUCGACACCGAUGACUUCCCGAUUAUGAUAGGACUGCAUCAGGGGUCAGCUUUGAGCCCUUAUCUUUUUGCAUUGGUGAUGGAUGAGGUCACAAGGGGUAUACAAGGAUAUAUCCCAUGGUGUAUGCUCUUUGCGGAUGAUGUGGUGCUAGUUGACGAUAGUCGGACGGGGGUAAAUAGGAAGUUAGAGUUAUGGAGACAAACCUUGGAAUCGAAAGGGUUUAGACUUAGUAGAACUAAAACUGAGUACAUGAUGUGCGGUUUCAGUACUACUAGCUGUGAGGAGGAGGAGGUUAGCCUUGAUGGCCAGGUGGUACCUCGGAAGGACACCUUUCGGUAUUUGGGGUCAAUGUUGUAG